CCUACGGGAGGCAGCAGUGAGGAAUAUUGGUCAAUGGACGAGAGUCUGAACCAGCCAAGUAGCGUGAAGGAUGAAUGCCCUAUGGGUUGUAAACUUCUUUUAUAAAGGAAUAAAACGAGGCACGUGUGCCUUUUUGCAUGUACUUUAGGAAUAAGGAUCGGCUAACUCCGUGACAGCAGCCGCGGUAAUACGGAGGAUCCGAGCGUUAUACGGAUUUAUUGGGUUUAAGGGGAGCGUAGAUGGGUUGUUAAGAAAGUUGUGAAAGUUUGCGGGUCAACCGUAAAAUUGCAAUUGAUACUGGCAGUCGUGAGUACAGUUGAGGUAGGCGGAAUUCGUGGUGUAGCGGUGAUAUGCUUAGAUAUCACGAAGAACCCCGAUUGCGAAGGCAGCUUACUAAACUGUGACUGACAUUGAUGCUCGAAAGUGUGGGUAUCAAACAGGAUUAGAUACCCCAGUAGUC
rnacentral:rRNA from 1 species